rnacentral:misc_RNA from 1 species
GACGAACCGUGCGAACGUUAUUCGGAAUCACUGGGCUUAAAGAGCGCGUAGGCGGCGUCGCAAGUUGGAGGUGAAAGCCCAUCGGCUCAACCGUGGAACAGCCCCCAAUACUGCGAUGCUUGAGAGAGGUAGGGGCACGUGGAACUUCCGGUGGAGCGGUGAAAUGUGUUGAGAUCGGAAGGAACGCCAGUGGCGAAAGCGACGUGCUGGAUCUCUACUGACGCUGAGGCGCGAAAGCUAGGGGAGCGAACGGG